GACGAGACUUUAAGCCAAAAAGAAGGCACCAGAAAUCUGAGAGUCGCGGCGAGAGAGAAAGAGGAAGAAGAAGAUGAUACACAGGAAAUGGAGUCUGCUGACUGGGCCCGUCGCCGUAUUGGGAGGCAUAGUCGCCACGGUCGUCGUCACCCACUUCGUCUUCGUCGGUAACGAUCGAUUUCUCAAGACAGAUCCAAGGAAGGCAGAAGCCGCCACUUCAAGCAAAUAGAAUGAGGGGGAUGAAGAGUUGCAUCGUAAUGGGACUCUGUUUGUCUGCUGAACAUGUUGAGUGUUGCUAGUCUCAGGCAUGACUUGUUAGUUAAUAAGCUAGAAUUGCAAUUUGGGUUAUGAUUUAAGGUUGUGGAGUCAGUUCUUGAAUAAGGAUUCUGUGUUAAAUUGACUUGGCUUGAUUUCAAGUUAAUAAAACCAAAUUGCAUUGCUUUUAUUAUAUA